AUUGCAUUGCUCAAGUUUAAUACAAAUAGAGGGUAUCCAUUUACUUAAAUGUAAAGCUUGAAAUGUACUUAAUUUUUAUUUUAUGUAGAAAAUGUACAUCAAUUAUCAUUGCCUAAAGUAGGCUAUUUUGUGUAUGAAUCUGUAGUCCAAAGUUUGCUAAACAGUGACAUAUGUAUCUCUGAAAUGUAAGACACAAAAUGAAAAAUUCUUUAACAGUACUAAUUAUUUUUUGGAAAAAUUAGAUUAAUUGACAUCAAGGAACCCACUUAAUCUUGAUUAUGAUUUAUGUCCCAAAAUAUACCUAUCCUUGCAGAGUAUUCCGACACCCUGCUUAAUCCAACAUUUUUUUUGGUCCCCCAGUGUGUCGGUUGAGGCAGGUUACACUAGUACUGUUAAGUUAAUGUUCUUAAAAUUUGAUGUCAGACACUAUUCUUGUAGUACCCCUUCAUAAAGUGCCAGUAUUUACUAGUAUUUAACAAAUAGAAUCAUAUUCAAAACAGUGUGGCUGUGGCUGUUGAUUGACGACCUAAAUUAUCUCAUUGACUGGGACAGAUUAUGUGAACUUUUGUCUGUAACGACCACUGCUCACUACUUACUUAUUAUAGAAUUUAAACUGUGG
rnacentral:lncRNA from 1 species